CCCGAAGCACGAAAAAAAUCAACCAGUAAUGCUUGAGAUUGAUACGGUAGCAUGGGAAAAAAAAUUGGUGCAAUUCCAUGGAGGCCGAAAAAAUGGGCUCCCUUUCGAAAAGGCGUUUGAUGUAAGCCAAACGGUUUUUCUGGAAGCACGUUAUUUUUUCGACCGUCACGAAAUGUCCUCAAUUUUUUUACACGACAACUACGACUCAACCGCGAAGGUUUCGUGAUUGUUUGGUUUUUUUUUAUUUCCUACGGGGAACGAAGCUCGGUGAGAACCCGACAUGAUUUGCAUGGUUUUAAAUCCGAAAUUUGCCUGGAAUACGAAAAAAAAAAGCCAGUCAUGCUUGAGAUUCAAACGGCAGCAUGGGAAAAAUUUUUGGUCCAAUUCCGUGGAAGCCAAAAAAGUGAGCUCCCUUUCGAAAAGUCGUUUCAUGUAACCCAAAUGGUCUUUCUGGAAGCACGUGAUUUUUCAACCGUCUCGAAAUCUCCUCAAUUUUUUUACACGUCAACUAAGACUCAAUCGAUGACACUCCACGAUGGUUUCAUGGCUGUUUGAUUUUUUUUUUGAAUUUCCUACGGUGAUACAAAGCAGGGUUAGAACCUGACAUGACCUGCAUAUUUUUAGAUCCGAAUUUCCUCGAAACACGAAAAGAAUCAGCCAGUCAUGCUUGAGAUUCAUACAGUAGCAUGGGAAAUUUUUUUGGUCCAAUUCUGUGG
rnacentral:lncRNA from 1 species